rnacentral:lncRNA from 1 species
AUUGGUUGUUUUGUUUUCUCUUCUAGAAAUCUGUCUUUACCAAUGUUCUCACUGCUUGUUUUGUUUUUAAGGUUGCCUGCUCCUUCUUUUUAUAUUCAGGAAAUGUCAUAGCUGCUCAGAUGGCUUAGUGAAUAAUGUAUGGAAAGUUAUCUUUUGUCUCCAUUGUUAACUCUGUGAUUUCUGGAUGUGGCUCUUCUAUUUGCUAGUUAUUGUGUCUUUUCAUGCACAAGUUUUUUGUUUUUUGGGUUUUUGUUUUUGUUUUUUGUUUUUCUGGAAAAAUUGACAGUUCUUUACAGGCAGUUUCUAGUACUGAGCACUUUAUGUAAGCGAUAUUGUGAAGAAGAGUGAAACUUCCUGACUGCCCAGAGGCUGGUGCUCUAACUUGGAAAACCUGCUUCUGGUGGCUAUCAGGAGGAAGAGUGGAGAUGCACCUGGGAGCCAGGAUCUCUUCUCAAGACUCGGGUGACUUUCUUCUACUUACAAAGACUAAUUUCUUGAUUUAGGAAUUCAUUCUUCAUUCUCAUCUGCUGUGCACAGUUCCCACUCCUCUGUUGUGAUUGUGAGUCUCAUCUUCCAUCCCUGCCACAAAUGCUCAUGGAUACAAGAGGAAGUGAUGAAGACACAUGGUCUCAGCAAUCCCAACCCUGAAAUUUGUGUCCUUUUAUAUAAAAUAGUAUAUUUGUGGCUAUAACUUAGAAAAAUAGAGUUGAACUAUAUAGCACCAUGAACAUUUUCAGUUCAGUGGUCUGAAAAUAUAUGAUUGAUAAAAUGGGAUUAAUCACACAAAAUACCAAGAGUUUGUGAUUAGGAAACCUAACAUGGGCCUGCUUGUCUACUCCACAUUUUCCUACUUUAAACAAAAGAAAAUUCUAUUUUUAUGUAAGCUUAUUAUAAGGUUUGAGACACAUCAGAAAGAAUUGUAUAAUUUUUAUUUCUUUCUUAAAAUUUUUAAAACAUUUAGCCAUGUAUUAAGUGACUUUUACUUUAUUUUAUUUAUAUUUUAAUAGGAAACCAUUCUGAAAUAAUCUAUGAAACAUUUU